GAUGAACGCUGGCGGCGUGCCUAAUACAUGCAAGUCGAGCGAAUGGAUUAAGAGCUUGCUCUUAUGAAGUUAGCGGCGGACGGGUGAGUAACACGUGGGUAACCUGCCCAUAAGACUGGGAUAACUCCGGGAAACCGGGGCUAAUACCGGAUAACAUUUUGAACCGCAUGGUUCGAAAUUGAAAGGCGGCUUCGGCUGUCACUUAUGGAUGGACCCGCGUCGCAUUAGCUAGUUGGUGAGGUAACGGCUCACCAAGGCAACGAUGCGUAGCCGACCUGAGAGGGUGAUCGGCCACACUGGGACUGAGACACGGCCCAGACUCCUACGGGAGGCAGCAGUAGGGAAUCUUCCGCAAUGGACGGAAGUCUGACGGAGCAACGCCGCGUGAGUGAUGAAGGCUUUCGGGUCGUAAAACUCUGUUGUUAGGGAAGAACAAGUGCUAGUUGAAUAAGCUGGCACCUUGACGGUACCUAACCAGAAAGCCACGGCUAACUACGUGCCAGCCGCCGUGGUAA
rnacentral:rRNA from 1 species